CGUGUAGGCGGGGAUGCAAGUCAGAUGUGAAAUGCCGGGGCUUAACUCCGGAGCUGCAUCUGAAACUGUGUUUCUUGAGUGUCGGAGAGGAAAGCGGAAUUCCCAGUGUAGCGGUGAAAUGCGUAGAUAUUGGGAGGAACACCAGUGGCGAAGGCGGCUUUCUGGACGAUAACUGACGCUGAGGCGCGAAAGCGUGGGAGCAAACA
rnacentral:rRNA from 1 species